rnacentral:rRNA from 1 species
CGUGCGGGAGGCAGCAGUGGGGAAUUUUGGACAAUGGGGGAAACCCUGAUCCAGCCAUCCCGCGUGUGCGAUGAAGGCCUUCGGGUUGUAAAGCACUUUUGUCAGGGAAGAAAAGGUUCUGGCUAAUACCCGGAACNGANGACGGUACCNGAAGAAUAAGCACCGGNUAANUANGUGCCAGCAGCCGCGGUAAU